rnacentral:rRNA from 1 species
CCGGUUGAUCCUGCCAGAGGCNNCUGCUAUCGGGGUUUGACUAAGCCAUGCGAGUCGAGAGGGUUCGGCCCUCGGCGUACUGCUCAGUAACACGUGGACAAUCUGGCCUGAAGUGGAGAAUAAUCCCGGGAAACUGGGGGUAAUACUCCAUAGUUCGUGAGUACUGGAAUGUCUUUCGAACGAAAGAUCCGUCGCUUCAGGAUGAGUCUGCGGCUGAUUAGGUAGUUGUUGUGGUAACGGCCCAACAAGCCUAUGAUCGGUACGGGUUGUGGGAGCAAGAGCCCGGAGAUGGAUUCUGAGACACGAAUCCAGGCCCUACGGGGCGCAGCAGGCGCGAAAACUUUACCAUGCGGGCAACCGUGAUAAGGAAACCCCGAGUGCCAGCAUAGGCUGGCUGUCCGCCUGGUUAAAAAACUGGCGAAGAAAGGGCCGGGCAAGACCGGUGCCAGCCGCCGCGCGUAAUACCGGCGGCUCGAGUGGUGGCCACUAUUACUGGGCUUAAAGGGUCCGUAGCUUGAUAUGCAAGUCUUUUGAGAAAUCCGCCAGCUUAACUGGCGGGCGUUCAGGGGAAACUGCAUUUCUAGGGACCGGGAGAGGUGAGAGGUACUGCCGGGGUAGGAGUGAAAUCCUGUAAUCCCGGUGGGACCACCUAUAGCGAAGGCAUCUCACCAGAACGGGUACGACAGUGAGGGACGAAAGCUGGGGGAGCAAACCGGAUUAGAUACCCGGGUAGUCCCAGCUGUAAACGAUGCGCGUUAGGUGUGUCAGUGACCACGUGUCAUUGAGGUGCCGAAGGGAAACCGUGAAACGCGCCGCCUGGGGAGUACGGUCGCAAGGCUGAAACUUAAAGGAAUUGGCGGGGGAGCACAACAACGGGUGGAGCCUGCGGUUUAAUUGGAUUCAACGCCGGACAACUCACCGGGGGCGACAGCAAUAUGUAGGCCAAGCUGAAGACUUUGCCUGAAUCGCUGAGAGGAGGUGCAUGGCCGUCGCCAGUUCGUACUGUGAAGCAUCCUGUUAAGUCAGGCAACGAGCGAGACCCGUGCCCACUGUUACCAGCAUGUCCUCCGGGACGAUGGGUACUCUGUGGGGACCGCCGAUGUUAAAUCGGAGGAAGGUGCGGGCCACGGUAGGUCAGUAUGCCCCGAAUCUCCCGGGCUACACGCGGGCUACAAUGGAUGGGACAAUGGGUCCCUCCCCUGAAAAGGGCUGGUAAUCUCACAAACCCAUUCGUAGUUCGGAUCGAGGGCUGUAACUCGCCCUCGUGAAGCUGGAAUCCGUAGUAAUCGCGUUUCAAUAUAGCGCGGUGAAUACGUCCCUGCUCCUUGCACACACCGCCCGUCAAACCACCCGAGUGAGGUAUGGGUGAGGGCACGGACUCUGUGCCGUGUUCGAACCUGUGCUUUGCAAGGGGGGUU